AUCGUGAUAUGAAAAAAUCUUAUAUCGCCCAGCUCUAGUGAAUGUAAACUGAGUCAGAGUAAACCAGCAUGUAACCACUCGAUGGGACUGAUGUGUAAACAUAUGCUGCACAGCUGUGUGAAAAUUAACCUUCAGUGAUAGAAGACUGCUGUCAGUAGCACUGUUAACAUUAGCCUCACUCGGCACAUUAACUUGAUUAUCUGUACAAUGUUUUGCAUGGUUUGCCACACCAAAAUUUUAUCAACAUUUUUAAUGUGAUUAGGCUAUUGACAGAUGUGAUUGAUUUCAACAAGCCCUAUGAAGGGCUUGAAGCAUAAAAUGCAGAAAAUCUGCGAGACAUCAAGACAUUACUUUAUGUAGAUGUGUUUAAUAAACUCAUAAACAUAAAUACCAGCUUUUUUCUGUUUCAAAUUGUAAACAUGCUGAGGAAGCUUUUGUAUUAGUAGUUGUGGCCAAAUUGUUGUACUUCAAAUGGGUGGGGGAAAAAUAUAGCCGAUGUAAGUCUCCAACGAUGCACUUAACACUAAUCAGAAUUCAUAGCAUUCCCCGAAUGCUGGCAUAAUGUUUACUCAUCUCUAUAAUGUCUCAUUUUUUGCCAGAAGUAGGGCGUGUCAUGAAGACGACCAUUCUGCUCUUCUGUUUUGUGCUGUUUUAUCUGUUUAAUUAACCAGUCCUGACAAGUGUCUGUGGAGCUCAGUCUACAAUGUGUCAUUACUCCAUAAUGACAGAUGCUUAUUGCUGCACAACAACAGGAAUUUACGGUUAUGAAUCUACCGCCUUGUAUGAUAUGAAAUAAAAGGAGUAAUAUAAAAAAGGCAUUCUACUCCUGGCGUUCUGAGGAGACUUAGCUGUCAGGAGUAGAUUGAAUUGUAAUGAAACAGCUGCAGUGUGGUAGCGAUGGUGAAAAAGCAGAGCGUAGUAAGAUGUGUUAAUCCUGUUCAAAGAUGGUGGGUAUGCUGGCUGACUUUGAAGUCAGCUACGCUCGCUUCCAGCUCUGUAUUUUAUUCCUGGAUUGUGCUUGCUGUUCAGAAAAAAAUAUUUGUAUUCCUGUUAAAAGAUACCUGAGAGAAAUGGUCUGAAAUGCAAACAGAAGUGGAAGCCUUCUGCACUCAGGAAAUAUAGAAGUGCAUAAAAUAAUGACUGUGUUGCAUCUCUCUCAUCGUUGCUUUUAACUGCUUUUCUACAUACAUUUUUUUUAGCUGUUGUAAAACAGCUUAAACGACUUAGUGGGAUUACAGAGAGCAGCUUUAUAGCAGACUAUAGUCAUAAGCUGUUUGAUCUGAUUAUCCAUACAAGACAAACAUUUCAUUGAUAUAAUGUUAUUUACAUCUAGAGGUUCUGGCUCUUCAGCAGUGUAAUUUACAGAUGGGACUCCCCCCUCUGAGAGCAUUAGCCUAGCCCAAAAUCCGGCUUCAAAUUGGGCUGUGUUGUUUAGUCAUCUGUGAUGUUGUGAGAACAAACAUUUUGCCUUUUGGCUGUUGUUGUGGUGUCAACCAAAACAGAAAAUACUUGCAUACUACUUCCCUUCAGUUGACAUCAGCACAACGCAAAAGUAGAAAAAAUGUUGGAAACUGAGCUUUUAGAGCAGUCUCAAGCCGGAGCUUUUGGCUCACUGGGAUUAUUUAUGCAUCGAUAUAUUCGAUCGCAAUAUUUGAAAUCAAUAUUUGAGUGUUUGUUGUGUCGAUCUGUAAAUAUGAAGGGUUAAACAAGCCAUGUCAGUACUAGACAUGCAAAUAAAUUCUAAUUAAGUUUAGAAGGUAAUUGAUAAAAACAUUAAGCUACUUAGGUGCAUGUAAUGAAAUAAAGCCCUACAAAAUAUUUACUGUGAGUUGGGUAAAGCAUGAAAAACAUUUCUGUAUUGUAUUAAUCAGUUGCAUUUAGCUGGACUUUUCCCUUGCCUUUUAAUCAUUAUUAUAAUUGAUUACCUUCUUGAGCUAGCCGGAAACACUCAUCCCUGUUCUGCUUCGCUAUCAGUUAACAGUAAGCAGAAACAAUGAAUGUAGAGGGUUGAAUGAACAGACAGGUGAUGUGUUGUGUGUUGCUGCCUAUAGGUCACAGCAUGCUUAAACUUGUAGUUAUAUCCUUGUCCUUGAUUAAGUCCUUUGGCCUUUUCUUUGUAUCUCUCUCUCUUCAUAGAUCAAUACAAGAAAUCGGAGAAAUGAAGAUCAAGCAACAAAUUGAAGACGUUGUGGCUCCUCUCAAAGAAAAGAUUCGUGACCUGGAACAAAGUUUUUCUCAGAAAUACCCACCGGUGAAAUUCCUGUCAGAAAAGGAUCGUAAAAGAAUUUUGG